GAUGAACGCUGACAGAAUGCUUAACACAUGCAAGUCAACUGAGGCGGACGGGUGAGUAACGCGUACAGAACUUGCCUCACAGUUAGGGACAACAUUUGGAAACGAAUGCUAAUACAUGAGACUGUGAGAGAGCUUUGCGUCCCAUUAGCUAGUGGGAGAGGUAACGGCUCACCAAGGCGAUGAUGGGUAGCCGGCCUGAGAGGGGGAUCGGCCACCAGGGGACGGAGACACGGCCCUUACUCCUACGGGAGGCAGCAGUGGGGAAUAUUGGACAAUGGACCAAAGUCUGAUCCAGCAAUUCGGGUUGCACGAUGAAGUUUUCUGAAUGUAAAGUGCUUUCAGUGGGGAAUCGGUACCAACAGAAGAAGUGACGGCUAAAUACGUGCCAGCAGCCGCGGUAAUAC
rnacentral:rRNA from 1 species